CCUACGGGGUGCAGCAGUGGGGAAUAUUGGACAAUGGGGGGAACCCUGAUCCAGCCAUGCCGCGUGUGUGAAGAAGGCCCUCGGGUUGUAAAGCACUUUCAGUGAGGAAGAACGCCUGGUGGUUAAUACCCAUCAGGAAAGACAUCACUCACAGAAGAAGCACCGGCUAACUCCGUGCCAGCAGCCGCGGUAAUACGGAGGGUGCGAGCGUUAAUCGGAAUUACUGGGCGUAAAGCGCGCGUAGGUGGCUUGAUAAGCCGGUUGUGAAAGCCCCGGGCUCAACCUGGGAACGGCAUCCGGAACUGUCAAGCUAGAGUGCAGGAGAGGAAGGUAGAAUUCCCGGUGUAGCGGUGAAAUGCGUAGAGAUCGGGAGGAAUACCAGUGGCGAAGGCGGCCUUCUGGACUGACACUGACACUGAGGUGCGAAAGCGUGGGUAGCAAACAGGAUUAGAUACCCCGGUAGUC
rnacentral:rRNA from 1 species